GACGAACGCUGGCGGCGUGCUUAACACAUGCAAGUCGAACGAAGUGGCGAACGGGUGAGUAACGCGUAAUCAACCUGCCCUUCAGAGGGGGACAACAGUUGGAAACGACUGCUAAUACCGCAUACUGAAGGAGGGGAUUGCGUCUGAUGAGCUAGUUGGAGGGGUAACGGCCCAACAAGGCGAUGAUCAGUAGCCGGUCUGUAGGGAUUAACGGCAAAAUUGGGACUGAGACACGGCCCAGACUCCUACGGGAGGCAGAAGUGGGGAAGCUUCCGCAAUGGACGAAAGUCUGACGGAGCAACGCCGCGUGAGUGAUGACGGCCUUCGGGUUGUAAAGCUCUGUUAAUCGGGACGCGGUACCGGAAUAGAAAGCCACGGCUAACUACGUGCCAGCAGCCGCGGUAAUAC
rnacentral:rRNA from 1 species